GACGAACGCUGGCGGCGUGCUUAACACAUGCAAGUCGAACGGAAAGGCCCUGCUUUUGUGGGGUGCUCGAGUGGCGAACGGGUGAGUAACACGUGAGUAACCUGCCCUUGACUUUGGGAUAACUUCAGGAAACUGGGGCUAAUACCGGAUAGGAGCUCCUGCUGCAUGGUGGGGGUUGGAAAGUUUCGGCGGUUGGGGAUGGACUCGCGGCUUAUCAGCUUGUUGGUGGGGUAGUGGCUUACCAAGGCUUUGACGGGUAGCCGGCCUGAGAGGGUGACCGGGGACAUUGCGACUGUGGUACGGCCCAGACGCCUACGGGAGGCAGCAGUGGGGAAUAUUGCAGAAUGAGCGGAAGCCUGAUGCAGCAACGCCGCGUGCGGGAUGACGGCCUUCUGGUUGUAAACCGCUUUCGCAUGUGACGAAGCGUGAGUGACGGUAAUGGGUAAAGAAGCACCGGCUAACUACGUG
rnacentral:rRNA from 1 species